UCUUGAAAAUUUGACUAAUUUCUCUCUAUUUUGUGAUUCUUUUCUCUCUUUCGCGAUUGUUUGCGCUAUUUUUGAACACUUACAGAGUUAUAGUUUCAGGUAUCAAAGUAGAAGAACAGUGGGUUCUGCAAAGCCAUAGCCCUCUAGAGAAGCUGAACGGUGGGUAGUGGAAAGCUAUAUGCCCUAUUGCUGAGGUAUGAAUUUCUUACCAAUGUGUGGGUAGUGAACUUAUUGAGUUAUUUUUAUAGACAUUUGUUUGGGUUUUGAAUGGGUCCUCCAUUUAAUGUUGAUAGGAGAUAUUGUUUGUUUGUGAUGAUCCUAGCUAACUGCUACUUUUAUUAUGUACUACUAUUGUCUUUUAGUGAAAAUAUUAUAAUAUAAGUUGUUGGAUAUAGUUGG